GUGAGUUCCUUCUGUGCAAUAAGUUGUGCUCUGAGAAGGCUGCUGAGCACAUGGAGGAACAUGGGAUCUAAUGACUAAUCCUGAACUUUCCCAUAUCAAAAUAGAAAUUUCAUUUUGUUUGCACAAGAAUACAUUUUCCAGUGCAUGUGGAUGGGGAGACAUCUGGAGAAAAGAGCAGCGUAGGCAGAGCCGUGCCUUGGGGACUGAGCAGCUGUGCUGACCAUGAGCGAGCAGAGCCAUGUCAACAGCCUGUUCCUCAACGAGGACGCAGCCAAGCGGCUCAAUGCCGAGAGUCGGGUGCAGCGCUUACGGCAGGCGGUGCAGAAGCGGGCAGCACGGGCCAAGAAGCGGAUGCACAGCAUCACUGCCGACAGCGCUAAAAGCUUCUUCAGGAGAAAUGCCUUCGUCCUCUUCACCAUUGCUGCAGUCUUAUUAGGGAUCAUCCUGGCAUUUUCCCUUCGGCCGUACCAGCUGACCUAUCGCCAGAUCAAGUAUUUCUCCUUCCCCGGCGAGCUGCUGAUGCGUAUGCUCCAGAUGUUGGUUCUUCCUCUCAUUGUCUCUAGCUUGAUUACAGGAAUGGCCUCGCUGGAUGGCAGAGCCUCAGGGAAGAUGGGGAUGCGGGCUGUCGUCUACUACAUGGUGACCACAAUCAUAGCAGUCUUCAUUGGCAUCCUCAUGGUGAUCAUCAUCCACCCAGGAAAAGGAUCUAAGGACAAGCUUCACCGAGAAGGCAGAAUUGAGCAGGUGCAGACCACAGAUGCCUUCAUGGACUUGGUGAGGAAUAUGUUCCCGCCCAACCUGGUAGAAGCCUGCUUCAAACAGUACAAGACGCAGUACAGCACCAGGGUCUUCACCAGAACCGUCCUCCACAGCACCAAUGUCACAGCAGGUGUGACAACCACUCAGAUCCCUGUGCCUGAGAACUUCACCAGCAUCCUGGAGAACGUCACUCAUGCCCUGGGGACCAUCUCCGAGGUGCUGACCUUUGAAGAAGUCAUUCCCAUCCCGGGCUCAGCCAAUGGGGUGAACGCGCUGGGGCUGGUAGUGUUCUCCAUGUGCUUCGGUUUGGUGAUCGGCAGCAUGAAGCAGAAGGGACGGGCCCUGCGGGAGUUCUUUAACUGCCUCAACGAAGCCAUCAUGAGGCUGGUGGCCAUUAUCAUCUGGUACGCUCCAGUUGGAAUCAUGUUUUUAAUUGCUGGCAAAAUCCUGGAGAUGGAUGACCUAGCAGUGAUGGGAGGUCAGCUGGGGAUGUACACGCUCACUGUCAUCGUUGGACUCCUCAUUCAUGCCCUCUGCAUCCUGCCACUGCUUUACUUCAUCGUCACUCACAGAAACCCCUGGGUAUUCAUUGCAGGGCUUCUGCAGGCCCUCAUCACAGCCCUGGGCACCUCCUCAAGCUCAGCGACUCUACCCAUCACCUUCAAGUGCCUGGAAGAAAAUAAUGGUGUGGACAGGCGCAUCACGAGGUUUGUUCUGCCUGUGGGAGCUACAAUUAACAUGGAUGGCACUGCUCUGUACGAGGCCCUUGCAGCCAUCUUUAUUGCACAAGUCAACAACUAUGAACUUGACUUCGGGCAGAUCAUCACAAUAAGCAUCACUGCCACAGCAGCCAGCAUUGGAGCUGCAGGUAUUCCCCAAGCAGGACUGGUGACAAUGGUUAUAGUGUUGACAUCAGUGGGGCUGCCUACUGAAGACAUUACGCUGAUCAUCGCUGUGGACUGGUUUCUGGACCGCCUUAGAACAACCACCAAUGUCCUGGGGGAUUCUCUGGGGGCUGGCAUUGUGGAGCAUCUCUCCCGGCGUGAGCUGGAUGCGCAGGACUGCGAACUUGGUAAUUCUGUGAUAGAGGAGAAAGAGCAGCUCUCCCACCUGGUUUGCCCACAGAGUGACAUCCACAGGCACCCCAGGAGUGAGACAGCACUGUGAAACUGGGCAGCAGAAUGCAGAUUAAUGCUAUAAAAGCCAAGACUUGAAACAGAAGUCCAUAGUAGAGGACAGAGAAAGAUCCACUCUCCAAGAUGCACACUUUUCUCCCCACCUCUGCCACACGCAGUCUUCCCUGAUCCCGUUUCUCCCCCAUCUCUUUCUGACUGGCAUUAAAGAGGAGGAAAUUAAACUGCAAAGAAAGUUUUAUUCCACAGAAGCCUGAUUUAGUCAUUCUUAUGGUGUCCAAGAGUUAUACCUGAGUAAAGAAGACUCAGUCAAUGAGCUGGACUAGGAGCUCGUUCGUUUCUGAGCUAAAGUAUGAGCACAGCUAAGUGGCAAGGUGGGUCGGGGACACCAAAACCUGUGGGCUGGCACCAAAAUGUUGCCAUGAUGACUCCGCCCUGCAGGAUACAGCUGCAAAGCCUUCACUUGGUCAGUGGCUUCCCCCAAGCACAUAAAGCUUUUAGCAUUGGCCAUUUGGAGAUCUCUGGAGAGCCCCAGCACUCCUGUUCAAGCUCUUCACUGCCAAGAGUGUUUAUCAUAAACACAGUGUCCUCCUUGCUCACAGUCCUGGUGUUUGCACAGAUAUGCGGAUGACGCUUCCUGAGAGCUUCUCACUCCUCCAGCAACCCUUCUGGCUGCAGAUACUGGAGUCACCCAGCUCCUGAAGGAAUACUAUUUGUCCAACUUUUCAAGAAAGCAUUGAAUUCUAAUCCUGAAGAGACUUCCUGUAUAUAAAGGGCAAACUGAUGGAUGAAUUGGAAGAAAAGAUUGUUGGAUUGAACUCUAGCUCAAAUGGGAAUUAAUUCUGGGAAGUCCUAUGGCUUGGGUUAUACAGACAGCCAAACUAGAUGAUCAUAAGGGUCCCUUCUGGCUUUAUAAUAUAUGCACGUGCUUUCUGGUUUAGAGAUAUUGCAAAGGGUCCUUCCAGCCUGAUCAUUUUUAAAAGGUGUCUGGAAGGAUCCUAAUGAUACUUUAAUAAAACUCAGCAGGAGUCUAA